rnacentral:rRNA from 1 species
AGCGAACGCUGGCGGCAGGCCUAACACAUGCAAGUCGAACGAACCUUUCGGGGUUAGUGGCGGACGGGUGAGUAACACGUGGGAACGUGCCUUUAGGUUCGGAAUAACUCAGGGAAACUUGUGCUAAUACCGAAUGUGCCCUUCGUGGGAAAGAUUAAUCGCCUUUAGAGCGGCCCGCGUCUGAUUAGCUAGUUGGUUGAGGUAAUGGCUCACCAAGGCGACGAUCCGUAGCUGGUCUGAGAGGAUGAUCAGCCACAUUGGGACUGAGACACGGCCCAAACUCCUACGGGAGGCAGGAGGGGGGAAUCUUGCGCAAUGGGCGAAAGCCUGACGCAGCCAUGCCGCGUGAAUGAUGAAGGUCUUAGGAUUGUAAAAUUCUUUCACCGGGGACGAUAAUGACGGUACCCGGAGAAGAAGCCCCGGCUAACUUCGUG